UACGGGGGGAGCAAGCGUUGUUCGGAUUUACUGGGCGUAAAGGGCGCGUAGGCGGUCAGUGCAAGUCAGUUGUGAAAUCUCCGGGCUUAACUCGGAAAGGUCAACUGAUACUGCUCGACUAGAGUGCGGAAGGGGCAACUGGAAUUCUUGGUGUAGCGGUGAAAUGCGUAGAUAUCAAGAGGAACACCUGCGGCGAAGGCGGCUCACUGGCCAGGUACUGACGCUGAGGUGCGAAAGCGUGGGGAGCAAACAGG
rnacentral:rRNA from 1 species